GCCUAGCCCCGAUAGCAAUGGAAAUCCUUCUUGUUUUAUCUUUAAAAACAAGAAGAUUGUAAUGGAUAGCGGGAGAUUGC
rnacentral:sRNA from 1 species